CCUACGGGUAGCAGCAGUGGGGAAUAUUGGGCAAUGGGCGCAAGCCUGACCCAGCAACGCCGCGUGAAGGAAGAAGGCUUUCUGGUUGUAAACUUCUUUUGUCAGGGACGAGUAGCCGACGAUACCUGCCGAAUCAGCCACGGCUCACUACAUGCCAGCAGCCGCGGUCAGACGUAGGUGGCACGCGUUGUCCGGAUUUCCUGGGUGUAAAGGGCGUGUAGCCGUUUUGACAAGUCAGAUGUGACAUUCUGCGGCUUAACCGCAGAACUGCAGUUGAAACUGUUGAUCUGGAGUACUGGAGAGGCAGAUGGAAUGCGUAGUGUAGCGGUGAAAUGCGUAGAUAUUAGGAGGAACACCAGUGGCGAAGGCGGUCUGCCGGACAGCAACUGACGGUGAGGCGCGAAAGCGUGGGGAGCAAACAGGAUUAGAUACCCGAGUAGUC
rnacentral:rRNA from 1 species